rnacentral:rRNA from 1 species
UAGGGAAUAUUGCAAAAUGGGCGAAAGCCCGAUGCAGCAACGCCGCGUGGGCGAUGAAGGCCUUCGGGUCGUAAAGCCCUUCUUGAGGGGAUGAGGAAGGACAGUACCCUCAGAAUAAGCCUCGGCUAACUACGUGCCAGCAGCCGCGGUAAAACGUAGGAGGCGAGCGUUAUCCGGAUUUACUGGGCGUAAAGCGCGUGCAGGCGGAUUGGAGAGUUGGAUGUGAAAGCUCCCGGCUUAACUGGGAGAGGUCGUUCAAUACUUCAGUCUUGAGUGCAGUAGAGGGAAGUGGAAUUCCGGGUGUAGUGGUAAAAUGCGUAGAUAUCCGGAGGAACACCAGUGGCGAAAGCGGCUUCCUGGACUGUAACUGACGCUCAGACGCGAAAGCUAGGGUAGCAAACG